GUAGCUUAAUGGUACAGCAUCUGCUUUGCAUGCAGAAGGUCCCAGGUUCAAUCCUUGGACU
rnacentral:tRNA from 1 species